rnacentral:rRNA from 1 species
GCAGUCGGAGGUGCACAGAGAGCUUGCUCUUGGGUGACGAGUGGCGGACGGGUGAGUAAUGUCUGGGGAUCUGCCCGAUAGAGGGGGAUAACCACUGGAAACGGUGGCUAAUACCGCAUAACGUCGCAAGACCAAAGAGGGGGACCUUCGGGCCUCUCACUAUCGGAUGAACCCAGAUGGGAUUAGCUAGUAGGCGGGGUAAUGGCCCACCUAGGCGACGAUCCCUAGCUGGUCUGAGAGGAUGACCAGCCACACUGGAACUGAGACACGGUCCAGACUCCUACGGGAGGCAGCAGUGGGGAAUAUUGCACAAUGGGCGCAAGCCUGAUGCAGCCAUGCCGCGUGUAUGAAGAAGGCCUUCGGGUUGUAAAGUACUUUCAGCGGGGAGGAAGGCGACGGGGU